rnacentral:rRNA from 1 species
CCUACGGGCGACAGCAGUCGAGAAUCAUUCACAAUGGGGGAAACCCUGAUGGUGCGACGCCGCGUGGGGGAAUGAAGGUCUUCGGAUUGUAAACCCCUGUCAUGUGGGAGCAAAUUAAAAAGAUAGUACCACAAGAGGAAGAGACGGGUAACUCUGUGCCAGCAGCCGCGGUAAUACAGAGGUCUCAAGCGUUGUUCGGAAUCACUGGGCGUAAAGCGUGCGUAGGCUGUUUCGUAAGUCGUGUGUGAAAGGCGCGGGCUCAACCCGCGGACGGCACAUGAUACUGCGAGACUAGAGUAAGGGAGGGGGAACCGGAAUUCUCGGUGUAGCAGUGAAAUGCGUAGAUAUCGCGAGGAACACUCGUGGCGAAGGCGGGUUCCUGGACAUUAACUGACGCUGAGGCACGAAGGCCAGGGGAGCGAAAGGGAUUAGAUACCCCAGUAGUC